rnacentral:lncRNA from 1 species
AUUUUAAAAUAGCUUAUUGAGAAUAAUUACACGUAUAAGAUCCGCUUACUUGCAAAUCCGUGGCGAAUUUAUACUAUUAAAACUGAAAAUUUCAAAGAUUGCAAAUUCAAUCGACAUAUACAAAAUCUGUAAAACUAUAAAUCUGAUUCAAUAAAAGGCUUACCUAUACAUAGGAUUCAAGAAUUGAACAAGUAGAAGUAUGAAAGGAGACGAAGUACUGAAUUUUCUAUGAGAAACCUCGCAAAUGCUUCUGGAAUU